rnacentral:lncRNA from 1 species
UCUAUUUUAACUACAGCAAUUUGGGGGACUGUCGUUUGCGUUCUUUCGAGGCCUCCUGGUGAAUAAAACAAAGAUGUCUAUAUAUGUUUAUUUCGAGUCCAACCAUACGAGUAAAUUAAUCAAAUACAUAAAUAUGAAAUAAAGAGUUUGAUUCUUAAAAUGAAAUUGAAUUAACAAUUAUCAAAAUACUUUAUCAAUUAAUUAAAAU